ACGGCGAGUGAAGCGGUAACAGCUCAAAUUUGAAAUCUGGCCUCACGGUCCGAGUUGUAAUUUGUAGAGGAUGCUUCGAGCAUGGUCUGGCCUAAGUUCCUUGGAACAGGACGUCAUAGAGGGUGAGAAUCCCGUAUGCGGCCAGGUGCCUACGCUCAUGUGAAGCUCCUUCGACGAGUCGAGUUGUUUGGGAAUGCAGCUCAAAAUGGGUGGUAAAUUUCAUCUAAAGCUAAAUAUUGGCCAGAGACCGAUAGCGCACAAGUAGAGUGAUCGAAAGAUGAAAAGCACUUUGGAAAGAGAGUUAAACAGUACGUGAAAUUGUUGAAAGGGAAGCGCUUGCAACCAGACUUGCGCGCGGCCGAUCAUCCGGUGUUCUCACCGGUGCACUCGGCCGUGCUCAGGCCAGCAUCGGUUUUGGCGGCUGGAUAAAGGCCCUAGGAAUGUAGCUCCUCUCGGGGAGUGUUAUAGCCUAGGGUGCAAUGCAGCCUGCUGGGACCGAGGACCGCGCUUCGGCUAGGAUGCUGGCGUAAUGGUUGUAAGCGGCCCGUCUUGAAACACGGACCAAGGAGUCUAACAUCUAUGCGAGUGUUUGGGUGUCAAACCCAUACGCGUAAUGAAAGUGAACGGAGGUGAGAACCCUUAAGGGUGCAUCAUCGACCGGUCCUGAAGUUUACGGAAGGAUCUGAGUAAGAGCAUAGCUGUUGGGACCCGAAAGAUGGU
rnacentral:rRNA from 2 species